AUGGAGCCCCUGGAGGAGAAAGAAACGCAGGUUGCUGCAUGGUUAAAAUAAAUAUUUGGAGAUCAUCCCAUUCCACAGUAUGAUGUGAACCCACGGACCACAGAGAUUUUACAUCACCUUUCAGAACCCAACAGGGUCCGGGACAGGGAUGACUACCUGGUAAUAGAGGACUUGAAGCAGAAAGCAAGUGAAUACAAGUCAGAAGCCUAGUAUCUUCAAGACCUUCUCAUGGAUAGUGUGAAUUUUUCCCCUGCCAAUUUCUCUAGCACUGGUUCCAGGUAUCUGAAUGCUUUGGUUGACAGUGUGGUGGCCCUUGAAACAAAGGAUGACUUACUAGCUAGUUUUAUCCUUGCAGUGAAUGAUUUGACCUCUGAUCUCUUUCGCACCAAAUCCGAAGGUGAAGAAAUCAAGAUUGAACUGGAAAAACUUGAAAAAAAUCUAACUGCAACUUAAUGUUUGAAAAAUGUCUACAAGAGGAUCUCAAGAAAGCAGAGUUGCAUCUGUCCACAGAAAGGGCCAAAGUUGAUACUCGUAGUCAGAACAUGAACUUUCUAAAAGCAAAGUCAGAGGAAUUCAGAUUUGGAAUCAAGGCUACAGAGGAGCAACUUUCAGCCAGAGGCAUGGAUGCUUCUCUGUCUCAUCAGUCCUUAGUAGCACUGUCAGAGAAACUGGCCAAAUUAAAGCAACAGACUAUACCUUUGAAGAAAAAGUUUGAGUCCUAUUUAGACUUAAUGCUGAAUUCUCCUCUUGCUCAAAUGAAAAUUGAAGAAGCAAAGCAAGAAUUAGACAGCAAUGAAGCUGAACUUACAAGGAGAGUAGACAUGAUGGAACUGUGACAAUAGCCAAAUUAACAUCCUUUUCCCUAACAAAAUAAAAUGAAUAGGACUUUAUAGAGUUUUUUUCCUAUUGGUGUUUCUUAAUAACGAAAUUUUCUGUGUUCGUAGAUUACAGAAUGUCAUAAUUAAUAGAAUAUGGUUUCUUACUGUGUAUUGCAUUUUUGUUCCCAAAUACAUAGGUUUCAUAUUAAAAAGGCUUUUCUCU